UCUGGAGUGGGAAGUCCUUCCUCUUUGGCGAUAAGAUACAGCCCAAGAAGAUGCCUGUCAAAACCUGUCAACAAUGUCACAAAAUGACAUGGAUUACUAUCAGAGAAACAAAGUGCAGGGUUUCAGACAUGCACACACUCACAUCACACGUGGGGUCCACCAUGGCUUUAUACCAGUUCACAGCCUCCUGGGUGCAGGGGCGCAUCGUCUCCGUCCUGCCGUGGUAGAACUUGCGAGUCAUUGCGGUCUCAUAACAACUUCCUGGCCUGUCAGGGGCCAACUGCAUUGCUAGUUGAACAAAGGUGUCUGGAUGCAGCUUCUUCUGUUUGAUGGCUGCUUUUCCAAAUGCUGUGAAGGCAUAACACACAACCUGCAGGUCCUGCACC